CAAACAUAAGGUUAUGGAAGCAAAGUGCUCGAUGCACAAAGCAAAGUGAAAAGUCCUAACGGCCAACCCAAAUUCUAAACCGUAAAAUAGAAAAAUAAAAUAAAAGGGCAAAGUAUGUAAAUAAAAGGGAAAAUCUAAAAAAAACAAAAAAAACACGGAGAGAUGGGCGACUGCCAUUUUUGAAAAUAGAGAGACAACUUAAGUUUUUAAAAUGUCAAAAGCCUCCAAUCAAAACUAGACACAUGGCCUAGAUUAAAAAAAGAAAGAAAAAAAACGCACAACAUUACAACCUUCUCUCUCGAUCCUUUUUUUCUUCUUCAGAAUAACAAAAACACAAAUAUUUUUAUCCUUACUUUCUCACUCGAUGAUUGAUAUCUCCCUCUCAUGUCUCACACUCCCUCGUCGUG
rnacentral:lncRNA from 1 species